rnacentral:rRNA from 1 species
GACGAACGCUGGCGGCGCGCUUAACACAUGCAAGUCGAGCGAGAACCAGACCUUCGGGUCUGGGGACAGCGGCGAACGGGUGAGUAACACGUGGGUAAUCAACCUUCGGUACUGGGAUAGCCCGGGGAAACCCGGAUUAAUACCGGAUGGCCCUUCGGAUCUUCGGUUCUGAAGGAAAAGGUAGCUUCGGCCUCCGACCGAGGACGAGCCCGCGGCGGAUUAGCUUGUUGGUGGGGUAACGGCCUACCAAGGCGGCGAUCCGUAGCUAGUCUGGGAGGACGAUCAGCCACACUGGGACGGAGACACGGCCCAGACUCCUACGGGAGGCAGCAGUGGGGAAUCUUGCGCUAAUGCGGGAAACCGUGACGCAGCGACGCCGCGUGAGGGAAGAAGGCCUUCGGGUUGUAAACCUCUUUCAGGAGGGACGAAGCUACUCGGGUUAAUAGCCCAGAGGGUGACGGUACCUCCAGAAGAAGCCCCGGCUAACUACGUGCCAGCAGCCGCCGUAAGAC